ACGCGAGCACGCCGCGUGCCGGAAGACGGCCUUCGGGUUGUAAACGGCUUUUGUUGGGGAAGAAACAGACGGUACGCAACGAAUAAGCGCCGGCUAACUCCGUGCCAGCAGCCGCGGUAAGACGGAGGGGGCAAGCGUUGUCCGGACUCACUGGGCGUAAAGGGUGCGUAGGCGGUUCGGAGGGUCGGGACUGAAAGCUCCCGGCUUAACUGGGAGAGGGGUGGCGAUAGGACUGGACUAGAGGCAGCGAGAGGUGUGCGGAAUUCCGGGUGUAGUGGUGAAAUGCGUAGAUAUCCGGAGGAACGUCGGUGGGGAAGGCGGGACACUGGCGCUGGCCUGACGCUGAGGCACGAAGGCGUGGGGAGCGAACCGGAUUAGAUACCCGGGUAGUCCACGCAGUAAACGAUGUUGGCUCGGUGUGUGGCGGUGAUACAACCACGGCUGCGUGCCCCAGUUGACACGGUAAGCCGACCGCCUGGGGACUACGAGCGCAAGCUUAAAACUCAAAGGAAUUGACGGGGGCCCGCACAAGCAGCGGAGCGUGUGGUUUAAUUCGACGCAACACGAAGAACCUUACCCAGGUUUGACAUGUUCCUGCAAGCCCACGGAGACGUGGGACCUACGAGGGUGGAACACAGGUGCUGCAUGGCUGUCGUCAGCUCGUGUCGGGAGAUGUUGGGUUAAGUCCCGCAACGAGCGCAACCCUUGCCGUCAGGUACGAGUGUCUGGCGGGACAGCCGUCUAGAGAGACGGAGGAAGGCGAGGAUGACGUCAAGUCCGCAUGGCCCUUACGCCUGGGGCGACACACACGCUACAAUGGCCCGGGACAAUGCGUUGCGACCCCGCAAGGGGUGAGCUAAUCGCCAAA
rnacentral:rRNA from 1 species